rnacentral:rRNA from 1 species
GACGAACGCUGGCGGCGUGCUUAACACAUGCAAGUCGAGCGGUAAGGCCCUUUCGGGGGUACACGAGCGGCGAACGGGUGAGUAACACGUGGGUGACCUGCCCUCAGCUCUGGGAUAAGCCCGGGAAACUGGGUCUAAUACCGGAUAUGACUCCAUGACGCAUGUUGUGGGGUGGAAAGCCUUGUGCGGCUGAGGAUGGGCCCGCGGCCUAUCAGCUUGUUGGUGGGGUGAUGGCCACCAAGGCGACGACGGGUAGCCGGCCUGAGAGGGCGACCGGCCACACUGGGGCUGAGAUACGGCCCAGACUCCUACGGGAGGCAGCAGUGGGGAAUUUUCCGCAAUGGGCGCAAGCCUGACGGAGCGACGCCGCGUGUGGGAAGAAGGCCUUCGGUCGUAACC